CUUCAAACAUGAAAACAAAUUAUGAUCUGAAUAAAACGUACAUGAGUAGAAUAAAGUAAGGGAGACUGUAUCUAGCCCUAACCAUUACCGACAUGAGUAAAACUUUACUUGUAGACUUGCAUAGAAUCUUGAAGAUUAAUUCAGGUGUUGAAGAUUACCACCAACCAGACUUCCAUCUUUCCUCUUGCCACCAUUUUCUGAUUUUUCUCGGGUCAAAAGUCAUUGAUAGGGAAGUUUGACAAGUUUCCUACAAAAAAAAAAAAAAAAAAAAAAAUAUUCAGGUACUUGUUGGCAUUUAUUUUUUGGCAAAUUGAAAACAACCUUCCUAUCCUCACAAGGUGGUAGGAGUAAGGUCUGGGUCGUUCAAAACUACCCUUCUCAGACCUCACGGUGUGAUAUAAUACUGAGUUUAUUGUUGUAAGAAAAAAUCAAAAGGAAAGUGCCAACUCCUUAAAAACAACAAUCAACUAAACAGUUGGCCAUGAAAUGAUACGAUGCAUUUCAGGCGGCCAGAAGAAGCGUCUCACCACAGGUUAUUUCCAUCUCCAAACAAUUUAUAGAGAUGUUUCUUGAAAUAUUUUGCUAACACUCCAUAUUAUACUAUACAACUUUUUCAGAGAACAAAUUAAAAUACUCGAGUUCAAAUCCGAAGACAAAAAACAAAAGCAAUGCUUCUAUUGACUUGAUCCCAAAAAGUUGAAGUGUUAAACUACCAAACAGUACCUCAUAUUUGGCUAGUGAUGAGAACUGCAGCACUUUCUUGUUGGAUGACCACCAUAAUAUGCUUCUGUUUCCUAAUCAGAGUUGUCUGCAUUGUCAAACUACUAGUGUUAAGUUCUUACUGCAACAAUUCACUUCAAAAGCUUAAGCAACCAACUACUUCUACCGUAUGUAUUUGCUAGCCUUGGAGUAAAGUAAUAACAAAAUAAAACUCAUAGUCUACAUUAAAUCAACCGUGAAUGGUAUGUGAAAUAAAUGCAUGUUUUAUAUAGAGAGACUAGCGAACGAAUUCAUUUCUUCAUACCGUAUACAUGUUAUCAAGACUAGAGAAGACCUCUCAUCAAGCUAGAAGAGUUUACAUGGAACCAGUUGUGUGGAGUGUCUAAUGCAGUAAAAACGUAAGUAGAUUGCAAUUGAUAAACUUAAACUCAGAGGUGAUAAAUAAGCACACUAAAUUUUACAGGUGAUGAAUUAGUGAGCUGUUGAUAUUAGUAAUUGGACACUGUAAAUAUUAAGACAAUAGUAAUUUCUCAUCCUAAUUUGAUUAACCAAAACGGAAGGUAUAUAUUGAAUUAGCAUAACCAUUUUUCAACUAUGCAAAAAGAGUGAUCAUCAGAUCAUACAAUAUAAGCAAAAUGCUUAGGGAGAUUGCACAAAAGUAGAUUCAAUCCGGAAAUAUAAUUCUUGACAAAAAAAUAUAAUCACUGGGUUAAUAGUUUAAUUCAAGUUUGCUGCAGGCGAGAUGAUUGUUGGGCCAACAAAAACACAAUUCAUGGACGAGAUAUCUACUGGACUAGACAGCUCAACGACAUUUCAGAUAGUGAAAUGUUUACAACAGAGUACAUCUCACCAGUGGCGAAGCCAGAAAAUUUAAUAAAGGUGUUCAAAUUUUGAACACCCUUUGCCAGUGGGCUAUGCAAGGGUGUUCAAAGUCUAUUUUUAAUCAAUAACAAGUAAUAUUUUACCUUAUACGUAGUAUAAUUUUUCGGCGAAGGGUGGUUAGUUGACCACCCUUGGGCCAACAUAGCUUCGCCCCUCAUCUCAGAGAUGCCACCAUCUUGAUGUCCCUCCUUCAGCCUGCUCCUGAGACAUUUGAUCUCUGACGAUAUCAUUCUCUUAUCAGAAGGUGAGAUUGUUUAUCAGGGCCCUCGUGAACAUGUCCUUGAGUUCUUUGAAAGCUGUGGUUUUAAAUGUCCAGAGAGAAAAGGUGUUGCUGAC
rnacentral:lncRNA from 1 species